rnacentral:rRNA from 1 species
CCUGCGGGUUGUAAAGCACUUUUAGUGGGGAUGAAAAGCUCAGGGCUAAUACCCUUGGGUCUUGACCUAACCUACAGAAAAAGCACCGGCUAACUCUGUGC